rnacentral:pre_miRNA from 2 species
UUAUGAUGUCAUGGUCACUGUUGACCGUUCAUAGAAUCUUUGCAAUUGUUUUUGCAGUUUAUGCGAGGAUUCUACAACGAUCAACACAUACCUUUGACAUCAAAUA